GCCUUCGUUGUGUAAUGGCCAACACACUCGAUGUGCAACCGAGAGGUCCGCGGUUCGAUUCCCGGCGAAGGCG
rnacentral:tRNA from 1 species